AGCAGUGCCACAUGAAAAUUAAGGCGCUCAGGCAAGCCUACCAAAAGACAAAGGAGGCAAACGGUUGCUCCGGGUCAGAGCCCCAGACAUGCUGCUUCUGUGAUCAGCUGCAUGCCAUUCUAGGGCGGGACCCUACCAGUACCCCAACGCUCUUCGUGGACACAAUAAGGAUUUUGUGGAAGAGGAGGAGGAGGGGGAGGAUGCGCAUCAGGCAAGCAGAGAAUCCGUUCUCCCCGGCAACCAGGACCUUUUCCUCACCCUGGAGCCAAUACCCUCCCAGAGCGUAUUGUUCUUGGACCCUGAAGGUGGAGAAGGCACCUCUGCUGCAAAUGCUUCUAUGCUCCCCGCAUCAACUCUGUCCCUGAGGUUAUUGCAGAUUAGAAGG